GGUGCUGCUGUCCUCAUCCUCACCAACCUGCUGCUAGGCCGCAGGCUCCGCCCUGAGUCAACGGCGUUUGGGCCAGGCUCAGGCUGUAGUGUGCCGGGCUGGGGGGCCUCGGCGAGCUUAGGCCGGGAGAGGGAAGCUGGACCCGGCGGCCACUCUCACAACCGGCCCGCCCUCGUUUCGCCCUGCUCUAGGCACGCGAAGAGAAAGAACACCCCCACUGGCUGCCCAAAGAACCAUGAGGUACAAAUUGAAGUUAUGAUUUCUGCUCUGAGAACUCUCCAGCUGCCUAUCUGGUCUGAGAAAGUGCCACUAYCUGUCCCCUGGACUGAAAUUCUUCAGUUACGUCCUUGUUUUCCCAGAAAGAAGGUUUCAAAGCAUUUCUGGCUUAUUCUCAACCAUUUCUGAUAUCAGCAGCAACUUCUGAAAGGCCAUCUCUCUUCUGCCUACCAUUCUCCAACAAUUGCCUUUGUGCCCAAAGAACCAACUGUAGGGGUUGCAGCCCAUCU